UACGUACGGCGAGUUCAUUUAUUAUUCCAAGUCCACGUCGGCAGUACGUCGUUAUUCGAGCACUUUGAGCACGGAAUACAUUGUAGUUUCGUAGAUUGUUUUUGCGGCAAUGAGCACUCGGAACGUUACUCGCACGUCUUGGUUCCCUCGGCUGUUCCUAGAGGGCAGGAAUAGCACGCCUCCUAGGAACAGCCGAGGGAACCAAGACGAUGUUCGCACUGACUGCACAUGCGCAUUCAGAAAUGACUGUUCAUUUGUUGAAGGUCGCAAAAUUUGCAACGAGGUCAGUGUUAUAGUAGUUUCGAGAAAACGACGCUGUAAUAAAAUAUUUUGUUGGCAUCUAACGACUAUUGACUCAUUAUUUCAAGUCUUUAUCGGUAGUAUUAAGUUCUUUGAGCCUUGUUUGUUGACGUUUAUUGGCUAUUUCACGACAAUGCUUCAUUUUCCGGUCCGCCAUUUUGACAGUCAGGAGUAGCGCUGAAAAUCAAACUUCGUCUAGGAAUAAUCAAUCUAGUUGUUAACAAUACUAAUACUGUAAUAGGCGAUCUGUGAAUUCAGUGAAGAAAGAAGUGCCGCAUAAAACUAAUACCAAGAAAUCCAGAGACAUUUUAGAGUCCCCAGCUUUAUUGAACCACCGCUGCUGCUGAAACCAGCUCAGAUGAACUACCUUUCACCAUUAUGAAUGCUAAAGCUACAUGUAUCAAGAAAGAUCUGAAGGGUUACAAUUAAUAAAGGCGUGUUUCGUACAAAGGGACAUUUCUUCAUUUAAAUUUGAUCAUAGUUUGGAAUAUCUCGCUCGAAAUUACAUUUCUGUUCAAUAAAGAUGAAUUCUGGAUGGAAUUAUCUUUUGGAUCUUUUGACUUUCGAAGGAACUUUCUUUAGUUAGGAUAGACAGGCUAGGCUGACCGUCUGUGUAUCUUGCGACGUUCGGAGGAACAUCUAAUGAUUCGAGGCUGAUCGACGCUGACCGAGACAGAUUGUGAAAAUGGCCGCUGCAAUGUUACUUCAAAGGGAAUUAAAGACUUUAAAGCAAAGACGCUCAAAUGCAAAGGGACUAUUGACAAGAAAGGGAAAUGAGAUUCAGACACUGUUGGACUGUACUGAUUCAAAGGAAAAGUUGGAAAGGAUUACCAAAUUAGGCGACGAUUUAGGUAGGAUUUUCACAGAUUUUCUUGCAUGCCAUAAUGCAUAUCAUAGUCUUCUUAACAGUGCAGAAGAUAUUGCCGAGUCAAGGUUGUAUUGCGAUGGGGUAGCGCGUUUCAUGAAGCGACGCCUAGAAGGAAUAUCUUCUUAGUCUGAGGCUUUAACGGAAAGGCUCUCGGAAAAGGCGGCCAGUAGUGUCAGUUCAGAUGUAAGCUCAUUAGAUACAAUUAGCGCAGACGAUUCAGUUUCAAACUUAGCUUGUAAGCGCAGGUCUGUCAGUAGCCGUAGCGGCAGCCACAGGUCCAGUGUUUCCAUGGCCCAGAUGCGGGCAGCAGCCAAUUGUGCCGCGUAUGAAGUAGAGCCAUCGCUAUUGUCGGAGAGACAAGCUCUUGCCAAGAAAGAGCUUGAAAUGUCACAACGGCGGGAAGAGUUGGAAAUGAAGGCCAAAUUAGCACAUGCUCAGGCAAAGGAAAGAGCAUUUAAAUCAAGUAGAAGUCCUGGAGCGUCCGAGAAGGUGGGCGUUUCCAGGAACGGUGGUCCCAAUGUGUUAAAGACAAAUGACACUAGAUUGGAUCCAACGCGACUUGAAUUUCAACCAGGCCAUGUCCUUGGAAAUAUGACUAACUAUGCCAACUAUCAAUCUACCCCAAUGGCACCGGAAAGUGUGCCACCUGUCAACACCAGUUUCUUUACACCAUUUCCUGGAAGCAAUGUGAUGAGCAACCAGCCAACAGUAAGUAAUAUGAGUAGCCCUACAGUUACAGACGCUCUUAUGGAGGUUUUGCAGCAAGGGCAACAGCAGCAAAGGAUGUUAUUAAAUACACUGCAGUUGCCUAAGGUAGAUCUGAUGACCUUUGAAGGGGAUCCUCUUAGGUAUUGGCUGUUUAUAAGGGCAUUCGAAAACUCCGUUGACCGUGACCUCAUUGACAACAGUGUCAAGCUAAGUAGGCUUCUGCGAUACUGUACAGGAAAGGCAAGGCAGGUGAUUGAGUGUUGCGCAGUAAAGGAUC